rnacentral:rRNA from 1 species
UUAAGCGACUAAGCGUACACGGUGGAUGCCCUGGCAGUCAGAGGCGAUGAAGGACGUGCUAAUCUGCGAUAAGCGUCGGUAAGGUGAUAUGAACCGUUAUAACCGGCGAUUUCCGAAUGGGGAAACCCAGUGUGUUUCGACACACUAUCAUUAACUGAAUCCAUAGGUUAAUGAGGCGAACCGGGGGAACUGAAACAUCUAAGUACCCCGAGGAAAAGAAAUCAACCGAGAUUCCCCCAGUAGCGGCGAGCGAACGGGGAGSAGCCCAGAGCCUGAAUCAGUGUGUGUGUUAGUGGAAGCGUCUGGAAAGGCGSGCGAUACAGGGUGACAGCCCCGUACACAAAAAUGCACAURYUGUGAGCUCGAUGAGUAGGGCGGGACACGUGGUAUCCUGUCUGAAUAUGGGGGGACCAUCCUCCAAGGCUAAAUACUCCUGACUGACCGAUAGUGAACCAGUACCGUGAGGGAAAGGCGAAAAGAACCCCGGCGAGGGGAGUGAAAAAGAACCUGAAACCGUGUACGUACAAGCAGUGGGAGCACGCUUAGGCGUGUGACUGCGUACCUUUUGUAUAAUGGGUCAGCGACUUAUAUUCUGUAGCAAGGUUAACCGAAUAGGGGAGCCGAAGGGAAACCGAGUCUUAACUGGGCGUUAAGUUGCAGGGUAUAGACCCGAAACCCGGUGAUCUAGCCAUGGGCAGGUUGAAGGUUGGGUAACACUAACUGGAGGACCGAACCGACUAAUGUUGAAAAAUUAGCGGAUGACUUGUGGCUGGGGGUGAAAGGCCAAUCAAACCGGGAGAUAGCUGGUUCUCCCCGAAAGCUAUUUAGGUAGCGCCUCGUGAAUUCAUCUCCGGGGGUAGAGCACUGUUUCGGCAAGGGGGUCAUCCCGACUUACCAACCCGAUGCAAACUGCGAAUACCGGAGAAUGUUAUCACGGGAGACACACGGCGGGUGCUAACGUCCGUCGUGAAGAGGGAAACAACCCAGACCGCCAGCUAAGGUCCCAAAGUCAUGGUUAAGUGGGAAACGAUGUGGGAAGGCCCAGACAGCCAGGAUGUUGGCUUAGAAGCAGCCAUCAUUUAAAGAAAGCGUAAUAGCUCACUGGUCGAGUCGGCCUGCGCGGAAGAUGUAACGGGGCUAAACCAUGCACCGAAGCUGCGGCAGCGACRCUGAUGCGUUGUUGGGUAGGGGAGCGUUCUGUAAGCCUGYGAAGGUGUGCUGUGAGGCAUGCUGGAGGUAUCAGAAGUGCGAAUGCUGACAUAAGUAACGAUAAAGCGGGUGAAAAGCCCGCUCGCCGGAAGACCAAGGGUUCCUGUCCAACGUUAAUCGGGGCAGGGUGAGUCGACCCCUAAGGCGAGGCCGAAAGGCGUAGUCGAUGGGAAACAGGUUAAUAUUCCUGUACUUGGUGUUACUGCGAAGGGGGGACGGAGAAGGCUAUGUUGGCCGGGCGACGGUUGUCCCGGUUUAAGCGUGUAGGCUGGUUUUCCAGGCAAAUCCGGAAAAUCAAGGCUGAGGCGUGAUGACGAGGCACUACGGUGCUGAAGCAACAAAUGCCCUGCUUCCAGGAAAAGCCUCUAAGCAUCAGGUAACAUCAAAUCGUACCCCAAACCGACACAGGUGGUCAGGUAGAGAAUACCAAGGCGCUUGAGAGAACUCGGGUGAAGGAACUAGGCAAAAUGGUGCCGUAACUUCGGGAGAAGGCACGCUGAUAYGUAGGUGAAGUCCCUYGCGGAUGGAGCUGAAAUCAGUCGAAGAUACCAGCUGGCUGCAACUGUUUAUUAAAAACACAGCACUGUGCAAACACGAAAGUGGACGUAUACGGUGUGACGCCUGCCCGGUGCCGGAAGGUUAAUUGAUGGGGUCAGCGCAAGCGAAGCUCUUGAUCGAAGCCCCGGUAAACGGCGGCCGUAACUAUAACGGUCCUAAGGUAGCGAAAUUCCUUGUCGGGUAAGUUCCGACCUGCACGAAUGGCGUAAUGAUGGCCAGGCUGUCUCCACCCGAGACUCAGUGAAAUUGAACUCGCUGUGAAGAUGCAGUGUACCCGCGGCAAGACGGAAAGACCCCGUGAACCUUUACUAUAGCUUGACACUGAACAUUGAGCCUUGAUGUGUAGGAUAGGUGGGAGGCUURGAAGUGUGGACGCCAGUCUGCAUGGAGCCGACCUUGAAAUACCACCCUUUAAUGUUUGAUGUUCUAACGUKGACCCGUAAUCCGGGUUGCGGACAGUGUCUGGUGGGUAGUUUGACUGGGGCGGUCUCCUCCUAAAGAGUAACGGAGGAGCACGAAGGUUGGCUAAUCCUGGUCGGACAUCAGGAGGUUAGUGCAAUGGCAUAAGCCAGCUUGACUGCGAGCGUGACGGCGCGAGCAGGUGCGAAAGCAGGUCAUAGUGAUCCGGUGGUUCUGAAUGGAAGGGCCAUCGCUCAACGGAUAAAAGGUACUCCGGGGAUAACAGGCUGAUACCGCCCAAGAGUUCAUAUCGACGGCGGUGUUUGGCACCUCGAUGUCGGCUCAUCACAUCCUGGGGCUGAAGUAGGUCCCAAGGGUAUGGCUGUUCGCCAUUUAAAGUGGUACGCGAGCUGGGUUUAGAACGUCGUGAGACAGUUCGGUCCCUAUCUGCCGUGGGCGCUGGAGAACUGAGGGGGGCUGCUCCUAGUACGAGAGGACCGGAGUGGACGCAUCACUGGUGUUCGGGUUGUCAUGCCAAUGGCACUGCCCGGUAGCUAAAUGCGGAAGAGAUAAGUGCUGAAAGCAUCUAAGCACGAAACUUGCCCCGAGAUGAGUUCUCCCUGACYCYUURAGRGUCCUGAAGGAACGUUGAAGACGACGACGUUGAUAGGCCGGGUGUGUAAGCGCAGCGAUGCGUUGAGCUAACCGGUACUAAUGAACCGUGAGGCUUAACCUU